GAAUAACAAAGCAUCUCUGCUUGCAGGAAAGGAGGAAAGGAACGAGACCGGGUGGAAGAGAACCCUCUCUGCUGUGUCCCCCAGAGCAGGCAGUAAGGCAGCUGGGAGUGACAAACCAUGGAGGAAGGUGAGGAUCCUGAAGCAAUAACAGACUGUUGGCCCCCAGGCUGUCUCCAAGGAGACUGCUCCCACGCCAGUGCUGCUCCCAGCAGGACUGUGGAGGGAGAAGAGAUGUCCCCAAGCCAUCACUCAGAGGAGAGCAGCAUGUUGGACCUACCCUCUGCUGGUGACCUGGUGGAGCACUUCCUGCCUCCACACGGCUCUGAGAGCAGCGAGGAGCUUUUUGGUUCUGUGGAUACUUUGCCCUCUCUGCCCACAG